ACGGAGAUAUUUAGAAGCUUGCUUUUGGAUAUCUUAGUGGCGGACGGGCGAGUAACGCGUGAGCAACCUGUCCUUCAGAGGGGGACAACGGCUGGAAACGGCCGCUAAUACCGCAUGACAUAUCCGGAUGGCAUCGUCUGGAUAUCAAAGGAGAAAUCCGCUGAAGGGUGGGCUCGCGUCCGAUUAGCUAGUUGGUAGGGUAACGGCCUACCAAGGCGACGAUCGGUAGCCGAACUGAGAGGUUGAUCGGCCGCAUUGGGACUGAGACACGGCCCAGACUCCUACGGGAGGCAGCAGUGAGGGAUAUUGGGCAAUGGGGGAAACCCUGACCCAGCAACGCCGCGUGAGGGAAGAAGGUCUUCGGAUUGUAAACCUAAGUAGUCAGGGACGAAGAAAUGACGGUACCUGAAGAGUAAGCUCCGGCUAACUACGUGCCAGCAGCCGCGGUAAUACGUAGGGAGCGAGCGUUGUCCGGAUUUACUGGGUGUAAAGGGUGCGUAGGCGGGCUGUCAAGUCAGAUGUGAAAUACCGGGGCUCAACUCCGGGGCUGCAUUUGAAACUGAUGGUCUUGAGUGAAGUAGAGGCAGGCGGAAUUCCUAGUGUAGCGGUGAAAUGCGUAGAUA
rnacentral:rRNA from 1 species